rnacentral:rRNA from 1 species
GAGCCGCCGCGGGAACACCGGCGGCCCGAGUGGUGAUCGUGAUAUUGGGUCUAAAGGGUCCGUAGCCGGUUUGGUCAGGUCCUCCGGGAAAUCUGAUAGCUCAACUAUUAGGGCUUUCGGGGGAUACUGCCAGACUUGGAACCGGGAGAGGUAAGAGGUACUACAGGGGUAGGAGUGAAAUCUUGUAAUCCCUGUGGGACCACCUGUGGCGAAGGCGUCUUACCAGAACGGGUUCGACGGUGAGGGACGAAAGCUGGGGGCACGAACCGGAUUAGAUACCCGGGUAGUCCCAGCCGUAAACGAUGCUCGCUAGGUGUCAGGCAUGGCGCGACCGUGUCUGGUGCCGCAGGGAAGCCGUGAAGCGAGCCACCUGGGAAGUACGGCCGCAAGGCUGAAACUUAAAGGAAUUGGCGGGGGAGCACAACAACGGGUGGAGCCCUGCGGUUUAAUUGGACUCAACGCCGGACAACUCACCGGGGGCGACAGCAAUAUGUAGGCCAAGCUGAAGACUUUGCCUGAAUCGCUGAGAAGAGGUGCAUGG